UGGAUGAUGGGAUAGGA
rnacentral:misc_RNA from 1 species